GUCAUUUCUGCAUAAGUAGGCUAUUAUUAAAACAAGUUAGACUGGUCCAGUCAAUGUUGUUGGUCUCAUGAACAUGCAAACAUUAGCCCAAGGUUUACCAAUGUACAAUGUGGGAAAAAAAAACAUUAAACCCGAAUACUAGAGAAAAAAUGGGGGAAAAUAAUUAUAUUGUAGAGAAAAGUCCAUAUUUGGUCACCUUGUAGACUACAAUAAACCUUUUGUACUCUCUUUAUAGGACCUUAUAUGUAGUUAACAAUGCUCCUGACUUCGCGGUCCUCUCGAUUCACGCCUGGCUUCACAUAAAAUUGCGGAAGACGGAA